rnacentral:rRNA from 1 species
CCUACGGGAGGCAGCAGUGGGGAAUAUUGCACAAUGGGCGCAAGCCUGAUGCAGCAACGCCGCGUGAGGGACGACGGCCUUCGGGUUGUAAACCUCUUUUAGUAGGGAAGAAGCGAAAGUGACGGUACCUGCAGAAAAAAGCACCGGCUAACUACGUGCCAGCAGCCGCGGUAAUACGUAGGGUGCAAGCGUUAUCCGGAAUUAUUGGGCGUAAAGAGCUCGUAGGCGGUUUGUCGCGUCUGCUGUGAAAACUGGAGGCUCAACCUCCAGCCUGCAGUGGGUACGGGCAGACUAGAGUGCGGUAGGGGAGAUUGGAAUUCCUGGUGUAGCGGUGGAAUGCGCAGAUAUCAGGAGGAACACCGAUGGCGAAGGCAGAUCUCUGGGCCGUAACUGACGCUGAGGAGCGAAAGCAUGGGGAGCGAACAGGAUUAGAUACCCUGGUAGUCCAUGCCGUAAACGUUGGGAACUAGAUGUAGGGACCAUUCCACGGUUUCUGUGUCGCNGCUACGACAUAGUUCCCGUCCGUCGGGNGGUACGGCCGCGACGGACGUAAACGUUAAAGGUAAAGUUAGUUACGGCGUGAGAGUGCCGACGGCGACGACGAGGGAGGUUAGG